CGGGGUGCAGCAGGCGCGAAAACUCUACAAUGCAGGCAACUGCGAUAGGGGAACAUCGAGUGAUCCUCAUAUUGGGGGUCUGUCCACCCGCCUAAAAAGCGGGUGUUGGCAAGGGCCGGGCAAGACCGGUGCCAGCCGCCGCGGUAAUACCGGCGGCUCGAGUGGUGGCCGAUAUUAUUGAGUCUAAAGGGUCCGUAGCCGGCUUUGCAAGUCUCUCGGGAAAUCCAGCGGCUUAACCGUUGGUCGUCCGGGGGGUACUACAUUGCUUGGGACUGGGAGAGGUAGGAGGUACUCAGGGGGUAGGAGUGAAAUCCUGUAAUCCUUUGGGGACCACCGGUGGCGAAGGCGUCCUACCAGAACAGGUCCGACGGUGAGGGACGAAAGCUAGGGGCACGAACCGGAUUAGAUACCCGGGUAGUCCUAGCCGUAAACGAUGCUCGCUAGGUGUCACAACAGUCGUGAACUGUUGUGGUGCCGUAGGGAAGCCGUGAAGCGAGCCACUUGGGAAGUACGACCGCAAGGUUGAAACUUAAAGGAAUUGGCGGGGGAGCAC
rnacentral:rRNA from 1 species